rnacentral:rRNA from 1 species
ACGGAAGGCAGCAGUGGGGAAUAUUGCACAAUGGGGGAAACCCUGAUGCAGCGACGCCGCGUGAGUGAAGAAGUAUUUCGGUAUGUAAAGCUCUAUCAGCAGGAAAGAAAAUGACGGUACCUGACUAAGAAGCCCCGGCUAACUACGUGCCAGCAGCCGCGGUAAUACGUAGGGGGCAAGCGUUAUCCGGAUUUACUGGGUGUAAAGGGAGCGUAGACGGAAUAGCAAGUUUGGAGUGAAAUACCUGGGCUUAACCCAGGAAUUGCUUUGAAAACUGUUAAUCUAGAGUACUGGAGGGGUAUGGGGAAUUCCUAGUGUAGUAGUGAAAUGCGUAGAUAUUAGGAGGAACACCGGAGGCGAAGGCGCCAUACUGGACAGAUACUGACGUUGAGGCUCGAAAGCGUGGGGAGCAAACAGGAUUAGAUACCCUGGUA